AUUGAACGCUGGCGGCAGGCCUAACACAUGCAAGUCGAACGAGUGGCGGACGGGUGAGUAAUUUCUGGAACACUGCCUUAUGGAGGGGGAUAACUACUAGAAACGUUAGCUAAUACCGCAUACCAUCGGAUGUGCCCAGAUGUGAUUAGCUAGUAUGUGGGGUAAAGUCUCACCUAGGCGACGAUCCCUAGCUGGUCUGAGAGGAUGACCAGCCACACUGGAAAUGAGAAACGGUCCAGACUCCGACGGUAGGCAGCAGUGGGGAAUAUUGCACAAUGGGCGAAAGCCUGAUGCAGCCAUGCCGCGUGUAUGAAGAAGGCCUUCGGGUUGUAAAGUACUUUCAGCGGGGAGGCGGUACCCGAAGAAGAAGCACCGGCUAACUCCGUGCCAGCAGCCGCGGUAAUUC
rnacentral:rRNA from 1 species